AGAGUUUGAUCCUGGCUCAGGACGAACGCUGGCGGCGCGCCUAACACAUGCAAGUCGAACGGAGUUAUUUUCUUCACUCCGAGCUUUUUGCCAGUUAGCCGGAGCGGCAAUCGGUUUUGCCCAGCAUAAAAAGCAAAACCGAUUUAGGCUCAUAAAGUAAGACUAACACAGAGGGCAGAGAGUUGGGAGUGAAGAAAAUAACUUAGUGGCGAACGGGUGAGUAACGCGUGAGUAACCUGCCCUGGAGUGGGGGACAACAGUUGGAAACGACUGCUAAUACCGCAUAAGCCCACGAUCCGGCAUCGGAUUGAGGGAAAAGGAUUUAUUCGCUUCAGGAUGGACUCGCGUCCAAUUAGCUAGUUGGUGAGGUAACGGCCCACCAAGGCGACGAUUGGUAGCCGGACUGAGAGGUUGAACGGCCACAUUGGGACUGAGACACGGCCCAGACUCCUACGGGAGGCAGCAGUGGGGGAUAUUGCACAAUGGGGGAAACCCUGAUGCAGCGACGCCGCGUGGAGGAAGAAGGUUUUCGGAUUGUAAACUCCUGUCGUUAGGGACGAUAAUGACGGUACCUAACAAGAAAGCACCGGCUAACUACGUGCCAGCAGCCGCGGUAAAACGUAGGGUGCAAGCGUUGUCCGGAAUUACUGGGUGUAAAGGGAGCGCAGGCGGACCGGCAAGUUGGAAGUGAAAACUAUGGGCUCAACCCAUAAAUUGCUUUCAAAACUGCUGGCCUUGAGUAGUGCAGAGGUAGGUGGAAUUCCCGGUGUAGCGGUGGAAUGCGUAGAUAUCGGGAGGAACACCAGUGGCGAAGGCGACCUACUGGGCACCAACUGACGCUGAGGCUCGAAAGCAUGGGUAGCAAACAGGAUUAGAUACCCUGGUAGUCCAUGCCGUAAACGAUGAUUACUAGGUGUUGGAGGAUUGACCCCUUCAGUGCCGCAGUU
rnacentral:rRNA from 1 species